rnacentral:lncRNA from 10 species
CCCUGAUGUAGAGAGCUGUAUAGGGACAUCUGGGUGACUGGAGAGACACCAUUACUGCCAGGCCACCAAGGACUCUGGAAUUGCCGAAACUGCUGGGUAUACCAUUUUCCUGGUAAACAGAUCAGGAAAAUCUGCUCAAGAAUCUGGCUGGUCCACAGGGGUACACAGAGCCUGUCGUUUCCGGCAUCUGAGGAGUAUGGGAGUAGACAAAGUCAUCAAACCUCCCCUGGAAAAGCAAUAUUUAAGCACAGUAAGCACAACUCUAUUGGUAUCCAAGUGGCCAGCUAAAGAAAUGGAAGACAGGCAGGUGAGAUGGCCUGUCCACGGCGACAGGAGAGGGUGUCAAGAUUUGCCAGGCAGCUUUCUGCCAGCCGUGGGCAUGUCCUCCCCCAAGCUGCUGAUCUGCUGGUCAGAUUAGGGGCACAUGCAUAUGGUGGCAGAGGCAGGGAAGAAUGAGCCACAUCAUUUCUGACAUGUGAGCACCAGAUCUGCGAGCAUAUGGCCUGGAAGCCUCUCCAGGAAUUUCACGGGACAUUUCAUGCAAGUUGAGACGGAGGCAUUCAGGAACCUGGAUCCAGAGAGAGAAAAAGAGAAAUUGCAGAAAAUAUUUCCCUUUGAAAUAUUCUCAUCAAAUGUGAUGGAGAAGAGUUAAUAUCUGUAAGGAGCUCACUGGAAUCAUUAAGAAAAAGGUGAAAACUCCAAAAGAAAACUGGAAAAUAACGUGAACUUAUGAUUCAUAAAAGAAGCACAAAUAACCAGUACACUUAAAAUGAAAUUUAUCCUUGCUGUUAAUAAACAAAUGCAAAUUAAAAUA